rnacentral:rRNA from 1 species
UGACGGUACCUGACUAAGAAGCCCCGGCUAACUACGUGCCAGCAGCCGCGGUAAUACGUAGGGGGCAAGCGUUAUCCGGAUUUACUGGGUGUAAAGGGAGCGUAGACGGCAAGGCAAGUCUGAUGUGAAAUGCGGGGGCUCAACCCCUGAACUGCAUUGGAAACUGUUUAGCUAGAGUGCAGGAGAGGUAAGUGGAAUUCCUAGUGUAGCGGUGAAAUGCGUAGAUAUUAGGAGGAACACCAGUGGCGAAGGCGGCUUACUGGACUGUAACUGACGUUGAGGCUCGAAAGCGUGGGGAGCAAACAGGAUUAGAUACCCUG